rnacentral:rRNA from 1 species
CCAAUAGCGUAUAUUAAAGUUGCUGCAGUUAAAAAGCUCGUAGUUGAAUUUCGGGACCAAUAUGUCGGUCGUGCCUCGGUACGUACUGGCAUCGUUGGUUUCUCCCUUCUGACGAACCAUGAUGUCAUUUAUUUGGGGUUGUGGGGAAUCAGGACUGUUACUUUGAAAAAAUUAGAGUGUUUAAAGCAGGCUCACGCUUGAAUACAUUAGCAUGGAAUAAUGAAAUAGGACGUUUGAUUCUAUUUUGUUGGUUUCUAGGAUCGACGUAAUGAUUAAUAGGGAUAGUUGGGGGCAUUAGUAUUCAAUUGUCAGAGGUGAAAUUCUUGGAUUUAUUGAAGACUAACUACUGCGAAAGCAUUUGCCAAGGAUGUUUUCAUUAAUCAAGAACGAAAGUUAGGGGAUCGAAGACGAUCAGAUACCGUCGUAGUCUUAACCAUAAACUAUGCCGACUAGGGAUCGGAUGAUGUUAAUUUUUUAAUGACUCAUUCGGCGCCUUACG